rnacentral:lncRNA from 1 species
AUUGCUUCAGUUUAUAUGUCAACAAUACAGUAUUGAAAUUCAAGUUUUGAGCUACUUUAUUUAAAAAGCAGAUCCUGCACUAUUCAGCUAUACUUUGUAGUUAUUCUGACUCAAUAUUGUUGUGAUUCUAAUGCUUUGUUUCUACAGUUGAAGUCGUCAUUCUAGGCUGAAAAUUUCUAUGCCUGUUGUUGCUGAAUUUAGUGCUCAAUGUGUUGCUGAAGUUUUGAAAUUUGAGAAGCAAUUGAAUAGAGAACUUGUCUUCUUAUUUGAAUCUUAGAAUUUUUCAUUUGAAUUUGUUGAAAUUUGUUGAUGUAAUACAAGCUUCCUAAGCAUUAUUUGUAUUUUUCUACAACAUUUUGUAAACCUGAAACUGGGUGUGGACAUUAGAGCUUGUUUGAAGAAUUUUGAACUUAAAUAAG